GGCUCAGAACGAACGCUGGCGGCGUGCUUAACACAUGCAAGUCGAACGCGAAAGGGACUUCGGUCCUGAGUAAAGUGGCGCACGGGUGAGUAACGCGUAGAUAACCUGUCUUCAUGUCUGGAAUAAUACGCCGAAAGGGGUACUAAUACCGGAUAUUCUUGCUUUUCAUAAGUUAUGCAAGCAAAGGUGGCCUCUGCAUAUGCUACUGCAUGAAGAGGGGUCUGCGUACCAUUAGCUAGUAGGUGGGGUAAUGGCCUACCUAGGCGACGAUGGUUAGCGGGUCUGAGAGGAUGAUCCGCCACACUGGCACUGGAACACGGGCCAGACUCCUACGGGAGGCAGCAGUGAGGAAUAUUGCGCAAUGGGGGAAACCCUGACGCAGCGACGCCGCGUGAGUGAGGAAGGCCUUCGGGUCGUAAAGCUCUGUCAAGAGGAAAGAAGUGUACAAUGGCUAAUACCUGUUGUAUUUGACGGUACCUCUAAAGGAAGCACCGGCUAACUCCGUGCCAGCCGCUGC
rnacentral:rRNA from 1 species